rnacentral:precursor_RNA from 1 species
CGGGAUGAAACCUUCUUUGGUAUUUAAAAGGUAGAUUUUCCUUCUAUGGUUACGUGUUUGAUGGUUAAUCAUAGAGGAAAAUCCACGUUUUCAGUAUCAAAUGCUGCCUUGGGAUCAU